UGAAAUAGCUCAGUUGGUAGAGCGCUUCACUCGUAAUGAAGAGGUCGCCGGUUCGAAUCCGGUUUUCA
rnacentral:tRNA from 1 species